UACGGAGGGUGCGAGCGUUGUCCGGAAUCAUUGGGCGUAAAGCGUGCGCAGGCGGUUUUGUAAGUCUGUCGUGAAAUCCCCGGGCUUAACCUGGGAAUUGCGAUGGAGACUGCAAGGCUAGAAUCUGGCAGAGGGGGGUAGAAUUCCACGUGUAGCAGUGAAAUGCGUAGAGAUGUGGAGGAACACCGAUGGCGAAGGCAGCCCCCUGGGUCAAGAUUGACGCUCAUGCACGAAAGCGUGGGGAGCAAACAGG
rnacentral:rRNA from 1 species